GACGAACGCUGGCGGCGUGCUUAACACAUGCAAGUCGAACGGUAAGGCCCUUCGGGGUACACGAGUGGCGAACGGGUGAGUAACACGUGGGUGAUCUGCCCUGCACUUCGGGAUAAGCCUGGGAAACUGGGUCUAAUACCGGACAGGACCACUGCCUGCAUGGGGGGUGGUGGAACGCCCUUGCGGUGUGGGAUGGGCCCGCGGCCUAUCAGCUUGUUGGUGGGGUGAUGGCCUACCAAGGCGACGACGGGUAGCCGGCCUGAGAGGGUGACCGGCCACACUGGGACUGAGAUACGGCCCAGACUCCUACGGGAGGCAGCAGUGGGGAAUAUUGCACAAUGGGCGCAAGCCUGAUGCAGCGACGCCGCGUGAGGGAUGACGGCCUUCGGGUUGUAAACCUCUUUCAGCACCGACGAAGCGCAAGUGACGGUAGGUGCAGAAGAAGGACCGGCCAACUACGUGCCAGCCGCCGCCGUAA
rnacentral:rRNA from 1 species